rfam:Aedes albopictus isolate Foshan contig10523, whole genome shotgun sequence.
GGCUCGGUAGCUUAGUUGGAAAAGCACUUGUCUAGCGAAUGUGGGUCGCGAGUUCAAAUCUCACCAGAGCUG